ACAUGCUUACAAUAUAGUGUUAAUGCACAGGAUCCCAUUUGAACUCUACAGUUAAGCGUGCUCGGGCUAGAGUAGUACUAGGAUGGGUAACCACCUGAGAAGUCCUAGUAUUUUACAUACC
rfam:Picea glauca, whole genome shotgun sequence.